GUUUGUGAUGAAUGACAGGUUGUUUCUUCAUGCAUAAUAGAUUUGGCCUUUCCAAUUCAAUUAAGCUGCUUUAUUUUCAGGAUUUGGUGAAGGUGAGUCAUUUCUGAGUAAACAGGGGAGUAAACAGUAUGUUAAGACUACACAGGGUUAGGUCAAGUAUUUACAAGGUGUCUAGUCAUUUCUGGUCGUUAAUGUCUAAUUGACCACACAUUGGUGCAAGUUGAAGCGUAGUCAAUGCUACACAGGUGUCUGUAGUCUAGGUGCUCGUUAUAAGUGCUUGAAAUCAUAGAUUGACGCCUUUGCGGUGUUCCAGAGCAUCAAGACUGAUCGAUCAAGGGUGAAUUGUGACUGAAUUGCUGAGCUACAAAUAAUAUGAAGUAGUUAUUUAUAAAUCAAGGUUAAUCUAAAUCAGUCUGGACUUGCCUUAAAAGUUGUCUGCAACGUGCCUCCAACAAGUAAUUGACACAGUUGUGACUGACUCCUUCAAAGCCGUCGGCCAGCUCUGUCACAUCAACCUUCUAAUUGAAGUGAAAGGACGUGACCCUCCAAUCUAAAAUAUAUCUCGUACAGUGGAAACACUUGAGCCUCUGCGUUGUCCGUGUCAGCAAUAACUCAUCACUCCUACUCCAGAAUGCCAAAGAGAAAGGGGGCCCCAACUUGAUGACAUUGCCUCAGUUGUUGAAAGGCUAGGUCUCUCCGAGGAAGUUACAGCAGCGAGCGACCAUCAGGAAAAUGUAUUAUUUUCUGUCAUGGUCAUUGAACUGGAAAGGUGUAACACCCUCAGCUAUCGCCGUCAACUCUACGAUGUGUGGAAUAAGGGAAGGAUGGCCUAUGCACAACCCCACUCCGUCUCCCAGAUUUCCCCUACACUACCCCAGGUCCCCCCAAUCACUACCCCAGCAAGUAUACGCCACGCGGCAGCUGCCUUUAACACCAGCACAAGCAGCUGAAAUGAUUGAAACGGUUGAUCCCGCCAAGGUAUCCCACCUUCCACCACUCCAACUCUAGCCUGGAGACAUUUUUCUGUUUGCAGGUAGUUCCUCGUCAUGUGAGGACGAAGGCGGACCAAAAAAGUUGGUUUCAGAAGGGAUCCCACAGCCUUCCUUGCCGUAAACCAAAACGAAGGGUGCGGUACUAUGCAGGAAAGGAAGCACCAGGGCUCCAAAAAAGGGAGUAUGAGUUGCUUCACCAGCCUGAUACUCCUGUGCUAAUUCACUACUUUGGUGAGGAGGCACCCUCCAAUGUCCCCCACCCCCACGGCAACAGCCAACAGCAGCAAGCAAGGGAUUUCAUCAGAUCAGCUACCUCCAAUUAUAGAUGAAAUGUCCCGGCGAAAGACUGAAACACCUGGCAAAGUAAACUCGGACAUGACCAAUAACCCACCACCACCCCCAAAUGCAUCAUUCAUGCCAGUUUACCAACCUCGCAAUUUGGCACAAGUGAAGAACACAAUUCGUCGAGCAAGGGACGUCACUGUUUUGGACCGGGACGAGUUGGUGGCAAAACAUAUGAUGGGUGACAUUCUCCCCGGAUUUGUCACCCAUAUGGAGACUCAACCCGCAACCCUUCUGGUAGUGGCAGCACCAGAAAUAGUUGAAGAGGCCAAGGCAGUUAUUAAAAGCAAACACCAAGGAGCACACAUUUUUCACAAUGACACCACGUUUGACCUCKGCAAUUUUAAUGUUUCACCCCUUUCCGUCAUGUAGCAUUUCAAGAGGCACCUGUCCUUCCCCUGUCAUUCCUCAUUCACACCACAUGGAAAACCACAAACAGUUCUUUCGCACCAUCCUUUCACUCCUUCCCCAACUAUCAACUUCAAUCUUCUGCACAGACCAUGAGGCGGCUAUUGAGGGAGCAAUCCAGUCUGUGCUGCCGCAAGCCAGGAUUGUCAAUUGCUGGAACCACAUCUCGAACAAUGUGAAGCAGAAGAUGGGGUCAGAGGGUGCCGAAGGUGUGGCCGAUUACCAGCAGGCCAUCAAAGAGCUCUUGGCCACGAAAUCAAGGAGUGACUACGAAUGCACACUGKAGAGUGUGCCUCCUGGAGCCCUGAUUUUGAGGCUUAUUUCCAUCAGUCGCUCUCUGAUGCCAUGGACAAGGGUGCACAAUAUGUGCUCAACAGCUUGGGCAUCCAGUCAGAUGGAAUUACCAACAACUGCUCAGAGCUUCAAUGCUGUCAAGGCAUUGGUUGGAUGGAAGGUCAGAGUAGAUAAACCAAUUUAUCUACUCUACCAACUCCAAACCAAUGCCUUGAGGGAGGUGCUGCGUGGCUACUGUAACCUAGGGAAUUUCCACCUGACCCCAGAGUGCCAUGAGCAAUUUUCCAGGUGAAUGCCCACCACCAGUUUCCCCUACCACAUGUCAGAGGAAGACAUGGUGUCUUUUACUGAAGGCAUCCAGUCCUGUGUGGCACAAGAGGUUGUCAUGGCAGAAACUGGCGCGGAGGCCUUAGCCAGGAUGAUUUUGGCAAAAGGACGUAUCUUCCUGGUGCCAAGCACCAAAUCAUUCCUCUACCAGGGCUUCUCAGACAAGCAGCAUGUUGUUACUCUUGCCAAUAGAGACGUGCUCCUGCUCUGCAUCUGACAGUGCCCAGAGUUGUGUCCGCCGACUGGCAGCUGUACCGGCCAUUAGCAGAAGUGUACAGUCCUAUGCCAAUAAAGCUGAGGACAAGGCAUCUGGCCACAAAACGCUCUGGCCAUAAGUGUGCCACCAAGGAGCAUGUCCAGACAGGAGCCAAACACCAGGAAGAACAAUCGACCGUUAAUCAACAGGGUGACCUGUCCCUGUCUGACAAACACCCCAGCAGGGAUGAUGAAUUGGAGAGUAGAGUGACGCAAGUGUGGGCAAUGUCGGAGUGAGUGGACAGGGCAACCACAAUUUUGUUGGAGGGAUCCUUUGCCAUCCUGCACCUCCAUGACUUCCUUACGUUGAAGCCCAAUGAGUGGCUUAGUGGGAAGGUAUGUUAAGGUCCCCCACAUGUUAUGGUUGAAUUGUAUGAAAUUUCCAUGCGUGCAGUUGGUAUAAAGUACAAUUAGUUGUUGCUUGGGCUGACUGUAUUGCCUGGGCAUUAUGUCAACUUUGACCAACCAUAUGCCAUUCUGCUUUAAGUAAUUGACUUCUACUUCCAACUGAAGAGUAUUGACCUUCAAGUGGAGGGGGAUGUUUUUAUUGUGGAUCACUUUGUGGCAKGGAUUAUCCUGCAUGGGGAUAAGGUGAACACCUUGUCAAAGGUAAAGGUAUGUCCGCAGAGUUGCUUUUGUGUCAUGGUUCUAAAUAAGAGGCUAGAGGGGUCAAUGUAGGGAGCGCUGCCACCUUCCUGACAAAAGAUUGCCUGCCACACCGUAUAAAUGUAUCUUCACUCCUAUUCCUGUAGACCAGUCUGGAGCGGCACAGUUGCUGGGUUGGAGUUUUGCAACGUGGGGAAACUACCACUGGAUACUCUUGUAUGUCAAUUGCAGGACCCACUCUACCAUUGUCCUGGACCAUACUGGUUCCCCUAACGCGGAGAGCCAUAUGAGUGAGAACCUGGUGAAGCACAUCAGGGGGUGACUGCCGCACACACUGGAGACAAUUGAUUGGUUCCCAAGUAACUCACGCCAUCCCUUCAAGGUUUGCAAUAAAGACAGUUCACAUAUGGAAACAAUGUUUCCUUCUUACCUCCUUUGCCAUAUUCCUUGCUGAUAUUCUGCAUAGCAACGGGGACAUGUGAAAGACGAGCCUGACUUCUCCCCUCUCUGGGCCCAGGUGACUGAGGCCCAUAUGAGGGAGGCAGUGCAGCUGCCAACACCUGAGUCGGAAAGGAGACAUUCUAAUGACAAGUUCAAUCAUAUAAGCAUAUUCUGCAGAUAAGACAUCUUAAUUAUCUGUUACUUAGCUAAUUCUGAUUUCUACACCCCAGUACUUUCCCACAACUGAGUACAUCUAUUGUAUGGUCAGGCAAAAAUAUUGUUUGACCAUUUCUACAAUAUCCGGCAUACCAGGUAAGUUGACCUGUCAAUGUUGAGACUACUUUUAUGGUCCGGUUGCAUAUUGACUCAAUUAGCCUAUGUGUUCAUGUUAUGAAUGUUGUAUGCUAUGAAGAGAAUUAUGAAGCAUUGAUUUCUGUUCAGGCAUGCCGUUUUCAAUCAUGAGCAGYCAUUCAUGYGUUAUGCCAGUGUAUGAAUGUUGGAAGUAUAACAGUGAGGAGAGAAUGUCAUGGCCUAUGUAGAAACAAUUAAUGUUUUCCUCCCCAAACAGAUACUGGUUUGAGGAAUGAACUGGUACAGAAUCUGUGUUCAGCAAUGUUCCCUGGCAGGCGACAACAAUACCGCACACCAAGCAAAGCGACGGCUACAAUUGGGGAGUUUAUGUGCUGCUGAUUGACAGCGUUAAUGCAGAGGGAGAAGGCACUAAGUGACCCAACUGUCCCAAUGCAUGUUAACAUCGGUGGUGCCAGAAUGGAGGUGGCCAAAGAGAUCCUGGACAAAGAACUUGACAGGAAACUCAACUGCAGUUGAGGGGGGCAACUGUGUGAGAAUAAUUUUACACAUUCACAUGGAGUGCUCCAGUUGAUCCUACACCUCCUGUGCUGGGGUAUCCAUCAUCAUUUAAAAUCAACACAUGGAUAAUCCUGCCUUACGAUGGAUAUGCCCACCCUGCCACAAUUGAAUACCUGCACACCAAGGCUACUAUUGGGUUGAUACUGUGUCAAAUUGAUAUAAUGUCCAGAGGUGUAAACGAUUUACAGGGUAUAUUUUWGGGCUGUCCCAACGGGAAAAAAUCUUGGUCGACUUGGUCUUCCUGUUCUUUCCACCAAUCGAUUGGUUUAAAUGUAUUUUUCCAUAUAGACAGACACGCCCUAUGUGUUUGAAGAACCCACUACAUAUGCAAUGAGCUUGUCUGAUGUUGAAGCACACUGUUGGAUUCAUUUAUUUUUGCUGUUGCAUGAGGCUUGACGCUCAUGGAAUCAGUAAGCUAUUAAACACUCACAGCCAAUAGAAGCAGGAACGGUCUUAUUUCUGUAGAUGUAUAAAGCCAGGGUAUUCUGCCCUUGAGUUGCGUUCCCAUGCAAAACUAGACAGAUGGCUAACGACUAAGUCUUCAAUAAAACUCCCAAGGCGUGA